GGGAGAGAGGAAGAAGGGGUGAGAGGGAGAAACCUGCCGCCGCUCGCCGCCUCUUUGUCUGCUCCGGGACUUGGAACAAAAGGGGGAACUCUGAUGAACUCUCUCCUCCCCUCUUCCCCGGACGCCCGGGUAUCUCCCUCUCGCAACUUUGCCGCCGCGACUUUCUCCGCUGUCAGGCCACACAAAAGUGUCCGAGCGCCUCGCGGACAGCAACGAGGGAAAGGUCUCCAAAAAGUGCGACCAAGUGGGGAAGAAGGCGUGAUUACCACUGUCAGCGUCUAGAACGCAUCAUGAGUACGCUGAGUUCCUCUGUACUGCAUUGUUCUUAAGGAUCAGUGAUCUUUAUGGACGUACAAUACAACAUCGAGUCAUUCCUGGAUGAAAAGUUAUCAAACUUCGUCCUUUGGAGUUGCUUAAAAGUUAAGAUGUUGGAAUUUUUGAUAAUGCCUUCCCUAUGUGGAUUACUACAAUUUGAUCCCUGGGAAUUCUCCACCUUAAAGAAGUACUCUCAGGGGACUACAGAAGCGUCCGCACCGUGCAUGUUCAGAAAUGCUGUGAGGACAGAAAUAUUAUGUUCUUAUAAAGGAGAAAGCAGAAGCUCAGAUUUCAAGGACUUGGGCCCAAACGGCGUUCAACUGGAAAGCUGGCACGUAACACUGCAGUGCUGAUCUUGGGGGACCUGUAGAGAACAACAUCAAGUGCAGGAGUGCCACGUUCCCAGGAGAUGUGCCAUCUGACUGUAAGUUGCAGAUGUAUGCCUAGCUCGACUGCUUGAGAAAGUUGCCCAGUUUUACAGCCAUUGAUUUAUCUGUAUGUAUGUGGCGUCCUAAAUAUGGCUAUAUUAAUUAUUUUAAAGUUUCCUCUAAAAGUCUGCCUCAUGGCUUGAAUGGAGAUGUGGUCAUUUGUGCUAAUUGCAUUUUAGAGUCUCUUAUGUAUUGGUGACAAUAAGCUAAUGUUUACAACUUUUGUUCACAUCAGGUACCAUUAGGCGCUUAAUUAUGUGACAUUGUGCUGCCUAGCUGUACUUUGCAAAUACCAAAAAGCAUCACUCUCUCCCCCCCAGUGCUGUGCAUGUCUGGGCCACCCUGACGUGGCAUAGUUGCAGCUUCUUAUCAAGAUCACAGGUGUGCCCCCAUGACCCUUGCUACCUAACCCCAGGAUCUUAGCUUGAGCAUGCUCUGCCUGACUCCCAGGGGGUGAUUUGAAACAGAGAUAGUGUUGCAGUGGGAGCUUUGCCAUGAGGCUUCUGAGAAUGAGGCAAAUCAGGAGCAGUGUGACCUGUUCAUGUCCAGGUUCCCAGACAGCUUGGGACAGUUUACCUUUUGAAAAGAGAAGCCUUCAGGAGAAAAAAAAAGCUAAUGACCUAUAAGCAGAGAGUCUCAGAGCCUGGACACUCAGACGUCCCCUUGCUUUGCAGAGGAUGAUGCUGAGUCCCGAACAAGGAAGGGAGGCACACAAAGAAAGGCUACCCCAAAGCUGGGCUCUGAGUUCAAGAAAAACCAAGCCCUCCUUUCCAAUCUUUCUUCUUAGCCUUUUGAUCUAAGGAAAAAAUUGCAUAGUCUAAUAUGCAGUAUCUUUCCAUACUUGGAAAGAUUAAUCUGUCAGAUUAAUGUUAGGAGGGGUGGAGGCGUCUUAGAAUCUCAUCGUGGGGUGAGUUUUACUGUGACGCAGGAUCUCCCAAUGAGCUGGUGUUCUGUCAGGACCGAAUUGCCAUCGCUCCUUCCCUUCUAACUAAGAAUGUGAACAGCCCCAUCGUGCGGGCUGCUGAUUGACAUCAAGUAACUCUGUAGUCAUGGCUCUAGCUAAAAAUGUGAAAGAAACUAGGUCUUUUCAACCCAAAGGUUCUCUUCUGUACAGUUAAUUAAAGACAUUUUCAGAAGACAUUUGGAUUAUGGGAAAGCAAUGAUAGCACGUUAUGACAUUUAUUUCAUUCCUUACCCUAAGAAUCUCAGUAAUUGGUUCACCCAUUCAAAACCGUUAUGUUAUCUGAGGGUCAAGACUCCCGAACCCCCGUUGGAACUCACCUGAUUUAUCUAAUUGGCAUAUUCUUUGAAAAACAACUCUAGACACAGGAACUUUUUGAUUCCUGAAGGUACCAUUCACUUGUUUUAAGACAAUUUAAUGUAAAACGUAUCUAAUUUCAGUGACAAUCUUUAGGAAGCUUUAGCCAGGGGCUUCCAUUUUAUUUACACCAUGGUAUUAAAGAACAGAUUUUAGAAAUUUAAUUAAAAUUCCACACAAACUUUGGAAAUGCUGGGCAGCUCAACUUACCUAUUGUUGAGGUUGUCACUUUGCAGCUGAAGAAACUAAGGCUUGGAAAAAGAUGAUAGCUUAGCUCUGAUCGUACAACAAAUACAGAGAUAGUUAGUGGCAGGAUGACUUUCGGAAUGCAGAGCUUUUGACUUCCAGUCCACUGGUCUUCCUCCUGGGCAAGGCUAUUGUAUGCAGUUGGAGGUGUUUCAUUCUGUGCGGUGCAAUUGCGAUACAGGGGAAACAGAAGGUUGUAUUUGUUGCCUUCUAAGAACUCAUACCCUCAUGAGGAUUCUCUCUUUCCAUGGAAGAGCCGUUGUGUGUAUUUACAAAUACAUUGUUUCCCUUUGUGGUAGUGUAAUAUGUCUCCUUUUCUUUUUAUUUAUGUUUUUUUUUUUUUUUUUUAGUAUAACCAAUUUCUAUUUUUUAAAUAAGAAAACAUUUAAAAAAAUCCUGAAGAGUAUAAACUGGGCUGUAAUAUUUUCCCCACUAUUUUCUUUUUUUUUUUUUUUCAUUCUUAAUUUUUAUUUAUUUAUUUUUUUUAAUGUUUUUUUUUUGUUGUUGUUGUUGCUGUUGUUGUUGCUAUUUCUUGGGCCGCUCCCGCGGCAUAUGGAGGUUCCCAGGCUAGGGGUUGAAUCGGAGCUGUAGCCACCGGCCUACGCCAGAGCCACAGCAACGUGGGAUCCGAGCCGCGUCUGCAACCUAUACCACAGCUCACGGCAACGCCGGAGCGUUAACCCACUGAGCAAGGGCAGGGACCGAACCCGCAACCUCAUUGUUCCUAGUCGGAUUCGUUAACCAUUGCGCCACGACGGGAACUCCCUAUUUAUUUAUUUUUAUUAUUUUUUGCUUUUUAAAAAAAUUACUCAAAUGAAUUUAUCAUGUCUGUAGUUGUAUAAUGAUAAUAACAAUCUGAUUUCACAGGAUUUCCAUCCCACAGCCCAAGCACACCCCCUCACCCCUUAAACUGUCUCCUCUGGAGACCAUAAGUUUUUCAAUGUCUGUGAGUCAGCAUCUGUUCUGCAAAGAAGUUCCGUCUGUCUUUUUUUCAGAUUCCACAUGUCAGUGAAAGCAUUUGAUGUUGGUGUCUCAUUGUAUGGCUGACUUCACUUAGCAUGAUAAUUUCUAGGUCCAUCCAUGUUGCUAAAAAUGCCGGUAUUUUGUUCCUUUUAAUGGCUGAGUAAUAUUCCAUUGUGUAUAUGUACCACAUCUUCUUGAUCCACAUCUCUGUCCAUGGACAUUUAGGUUGUUUCCAUGUGUCGCUAUUGUAAAUAGUGCUACAAUGAACAUUGGGGUACAUGUGUCUUUGUGAGUCGUGGUUUUCUCUGGAUAGAUGCCCAGGAGUGGGAUUGCUGGAUCAAAUGGUAGUUCUCUGUGUAGUUUUCUGAUGAAUCUCCAUACUGCUCUCCUCAGUGGUUGCACCAAUUUACAAUCCCACCAACAGUGUAGUAGUGUUCCUUUUUCUCCACACCCUCUCCAGCACUUAUUGUUUGUAGACUUUUUGGUGAUGGCCAUUCUGGCUGGUAUAAGGUGGUACCUCAGAGUGGUUUUGAUUUGCAUUUCUCUAAUAAUGAGUGAUGUUGAACAUCUUUUCAUGUGUUUCUCAGCCAUCUGUAUAUCUUCUUUGGAGAACUGUCUGUUUAGAUCUUCUGCCCAUUUUUGGAUGGGGUUGUUUGUUUUUUUGGUAUGGAGCUGCAGAAUUUGUUUAUAAAUUUUGGAGAUUAGUCCCUUGUCCUUCGAUUCACUUGCAAAGAUUUUCUCCCAUUCUGUGUGUUGUCUUUUCGCCUUGUUUAGGGUUAUUUAUGUUUUAAAUGCCAUAGAAUCUUCCCAUCUCUCAACCAAAAACAAACCAGAAAUGGUUAUAUAAUUGCCUAAAGCCACUGUCCAGUGAUUUCGGAGGAACAUGUAUGAACAUAGGCCCAGGUGAACCCAGUGAGGUGCUGGUGUGAUGUGCCCACCAAGAAAGCAAAGGCAGAUGAGGCUGCACUGAUGGAGAUCUCGUCCCUGAGAAGGAAGCAGGUGAUAAUACUGUUUUCUCUGUGUGGCCACCUUGUGGGGCCUUGGGUUUACUGUACAUACCAUUCCAAGAGCUACUGAUAAAUUGGAAUGUAUUCAUAAGCUGGAAAAUGGGAUGCUGAGUGGUAGAGACGUCAGAAAGUAGUGGCUAGAGAAACUGCAGAUGUUGCUAAAGAAACUGCAGAUGUUUUGUGUAGAGAAGACCAUCAUCUAAGUAGGGGUUGGUAGAGUCCCUCUCAUGUUUGAGGGACUAUCAUGUGAGAAAGCAUGCUAGGCUAGAGCUGCCAAACCUCUAAAUUGAGGGCCAAUGCACAGAAGCUCCAGUGAGGUUCCUAUUACCAUGGAAUCCGACCUUUUGGCUCAGGGCUUGCAAAGAUGAAACAGCCCAUCUCCCUCCCAGGGCACUGCAUUUUCAGUCGCUGGAGGUGUUCCCUCCAGGCGUGGACGCUUGACUGGAGGAGGUAUUUUAAAGGGCAGCAUUCACAGUUCAGAUUUGCAGUUGGACCAGAUGACCUUUGAGGUGCUUUCCAGCACCUGGGGUUUUGUGAUUCUAUUUCUAUUAUGCUUCAGCGCUGGGUAUGUGUCACAUUGUUUGAACCAAACACUGGACAGGAGCACAGUUUGGAAUGUUGAUGGCGCUCACAUCUAUUUUGUGUUUCAAUUUCUGGAAGCGGUCUUUGUCUUAGAGGCAGUUUGGUCCCUGACCUUCUGUAACAUUUGGAGCCCAGCCACACUGUCUUUGUUUACUGUAAAGAGCAUGGAAAAACCGACUUCCUGACAGGGCUCUGCCGAGUCUAAGGUCAAACCACUCACAGGUGAACAAACACAGUCCUUCCACCUUAAAAUCGCCAUUUGGCCCCUGUAAAAUGGAUCAGGGUAAUAAUACUGGGUGAGAGAAAGAGGGGAAACCAGGGCUGUGCCAGCAGCCAGCCGUUCGUCACUUGUCACUUUGCUUUGUGAAGAGCUAAUCUUAAUUCGGUAUCCAUUUGGGGGAGGUUAGAAAACAUGGCAUGUGAUUGUAGGUCCUCUAGAGACCAAGUAAAUAAGCCUGUAGAUCCUUCCUUACACCGUACUCAUUGUCAUGUCCCUGGAUUGCAAAGACAAAGCAUGGCAUUCUUAUUCACAUAAGGGAUUUAAGAGUCACACGCAUUGACCAUGAGUAGCAUCCAGGCUUCUAUGACAAGACCUCCAAGUGUCCUAGAUAGGCUGAAUUCCUUUGAAGAAGGAAUAUCCACUUGUUCCUUGACUAGCCUCUGCUAGCCUUCACUGUCGUCAAAAGCAUUAGGUCCCCUUUGUCAAAAGGAGGGAAGUGUCUUCCUGGGUAAGGAUUAUCCUAAAGCUCUGUAUGAGCCUAGACAGUGCCUCAUUCCUUUUCUUCUCCUCUCAUCAUGCUUCUCUAUCAUCUUAUAUUAGAAGACCCCCCAACAUGUUUGUGUGUCCCUGAAUAAACAAUGACCUUGUUCCCCGUUGACUCAAAAUCACUGAUUUGCCAGAUCCAAGUUUCCUUCUUAAUAUUUAAAGAUAAAUUACUGGAAUUGAUCCAAAGCAAUAGAAAAAUAUUCCUGGCAUAAAUGAACAUUUCCCCCCUUUUUCCUUCAAGAAUAUAGGAAUACUUCUGUAUUUUUUUCCUUUUUUUCCCCCUUGGUGUCUAGUGUAAGUAGGCUCUCAAAAUGCCCUACUGAUCUAACAUUGGUUUUGAACUCUACUUAAAGAUGAUAUACUAGCCUUUUACUAAAAUAUAUCUGGGUAUUAAAUGCCUGGUUCUUUACUGCUGAUGAGAAAGAUUAUUAACACUUUUUUUCCCUAGCUGUAAUAUGAAGCAAUAACACCCGUUUUUACUUCCAGAGCCAGAGGCAGUAUGUCAUACUAACCUUCAUUAACUGCCUAAGAAAUGAGGUACAUUCGUUAAUUGAGUAUUCUGGUUAGCUAAGAUCGUAUGCAAAGGUUGAUAAACUUGUGUGGUUCCCUUGCUUUGCCACAUAGCAAGCAAAAAAAAAAAAAAAAAAAAAAAAAAAAAAAAAAAAAAAAAAAAAAAGAAUAAGAAUGGAGGUCUCGUCAGGGCUCAGCAGAAACGACUCUGACUAGCAUCCAUGAGGACACAGGUUGGAUCCACCACCUCACUCAGUGGGUUAAGGAUCCAGCAUUGCCGUGAGCUGUGGUGUAAAUUGCAGAUGCAGCUUGAUCUCACUUUGCUGUGGCUGUGAUGUAGGCUGGUGGCUACAGCUCCAAUUCGACCCCUAGCCAGGGAACCUCCAUAUGCUGCAGGUGUGGCCCUAAAACGACAAAAGAAAAAAAAAGAAAAA
rnacentral:lncRNA from 1 species